CCUACGGGAGGCAGCAGUGAGGAAUAUUGGUCAAUGGCCGGAAGGCUGAACCAGCCAUGCCGCGUGAAGGUCAGUGCCCUAUGGGCGUUAAACUUCUUUUGUGCGGGAGCAAUAAUGGUCACGUGUGGCCAGACGAGAGUACCGUACGACUAAGCAUCGGCUAACUCCGUGCCAGCAGCCGCGGUAAUACGGGGGAUGCAAGCGUUAUCCGGGUUUAUUGGGUUUAAAGGGUGCGUAGGCUGUGAGGUAAGUCAGCGGGGAAAUGCUCCCGCUCAACGGGGUGAAGUGCCAUUGAUAUUGCCUUGCUGGAAUGCGGAUGCCGUGGGAGGAAUGUGUGGUGUAGCGGUGAAAUGCAUAGAUAUCACACAGAACACCGAUUGCGAAGGCAUCUCACGAAUCCGCGAUUGACGCUGAUGCACGAAAGCGUGGGUAUCAAACAGGAUUAGAUACCCUAGUAGUC
rnacentral:rRNA from 1 species